GGGGUAACGCCUAUACUCUGAAAAUCUGGGCUGGAAAUACAGACCCUCCCUCCCCAUUGGAUUUAUCUUCUUCUUCACCUAUAUGAAGAUACCCGAACCUUAACAUACAAAAAAUAGAGAGACACUCUACGUGUGAGAGAUCCACCGCUGAAGUCCAGAUAGACCGGUCAUCGUCUCCUUCACACCUAUCUCUAUGUAGUUUCAUCAUCUAUACCACAAACGAACCCUCCUUCUGAACUUCUAGCUCGCUUCUUUCCAAACGAUCUCUCCAAUUUUCUGCCUCACCACCUAACAUCCACCAGCAACUCACUGGAAAGACGAGCUCCGAUUCUGCCUCACCAUCUGUUGGUUCGAAUUUUAUUUGAGGCGUCGUUGACUAUUCAGUUUCAGUUGAAGUUUCUCAAAGAGAUUCGAGCUUCAGAUUUCAUCUUUCAAUUCAGAUUUUUCUAAAAAAAGAGUGUGGUUUGAGGCUCAAUUUGGAUUUCCGAGCAGAUUCGAGGUCUCCGGAGGCGUCGAGGUACCGUUGUUUGUUUUCCGAUUCUAUUUUCGCGGAGUUCGUUUGAAGCUGUAUCGAUUUCUGACUGUAAUCAUCUCUUUGUUUCAAUCUGUGUAAUUGCUGCAUUCAAAUUAAUGGGAAAGCUAAUUUCAGGUUACUUCUAAUCUCAUUUAUUCUAUUUUGGAUACGAUGUUUGUGGUUGUAACUGUUGCACUCCUAUUUUAGGAUGAGUUUGAAUUUCAGGAGCUACUGAUGGGCGUUGAUUUAUUGACUUGGGACAUUUAAAUACAAAUAUUAUUUUUAUCUUAGUUUAGGCUCAAAAUAAUUGGACGAAUAAUUUGAUUGCUAAGCAGAUUAAGCAGCAAGCUUUCUCUUAUGCUAAUCCAAUAAAAAUAGCUAAACUUAUUCUAGUCAACUUCCUCACUUAAUGGAAGGAAAACUCAUAUGAGAGUCUAUGAGAUGAGCUUUCUCGUACAGGAGCUUAUGCCCAGCUGAUUUGCUUCAUUUUAUAUAUAUUUUAUA
rnacentral:lncRNA from 1 species